GUGAAUACAUAGCUGUACGUGGGGAACCCGGGGAACUGAAACAUCUAAGUACCCGGAGGAAGAGAAAGAAAAUUUAUCGAUUUCCAAAGUAGCGGCGAGCGAAAUGGAAAGAGCCCAAACCGUGAUGCGUGCAUCGCGGGGUUCGGACUGCGUUGUGGCAGACGUAAGAUAGGAGAACGGACUGGGAAGUCCGGCCGGAGAGAGUGAAAGCCUCGUAUCCGAAAUCCCAAGUCGCCUAGCAGGAUCCAGAGUAGGACGAGACACGAGAAACCUUGUCUGAACGAGCGGGGACCACCCCGUAAGGCUAAAUACUUCUUAGUGACCGAUAGCGCAUAGUACUGUGAAGGAAAGGUGAAAAGUACCCCGGGAGGGGAGUGAAAGAGAACCUGAAACCCUGUGUCUACAAGCUGUGGGACCUCUUUAUAUGAGGGACUGCGUACUUUUUGUAGAACGGUCCGGCGAGUUGUGCGUACUGGCGAGGUUAAGGACUUAAGGUCUGGAGCCGAAGUGAAAGCAAGCGUUAAUAGCGCGUCAAGUCAGUGAGUGCAGACCCGAAACCGGGUGACCUAUCCAUGUCCAGGUUGAAGCUUCCGUAAGAGGAAGUGGAGGACCGAACCCACAUCCGUUGAAAAGGGUGGGGAUGAGGUGUGGAUAGCGGAGAAAUUCCAAUCGAACCCGGAGAUAGCUGGUUCUCCUCGAAAUAGCUUUAGGGCUAGCCUCAUGAGAGUCUUAUGGAGGUAGAGCACUGAAUUGCCUAGGGGGCGUCAAAGCUUACCAAAGCAUAUCAAACUCCGAAUGCCAUCAAGAUGAUUCAUGGGAGUCAGACCAUACGAGAUAAGUUGGAUGGUCAAAAGGGAAAGAGCCCAGACCUACAGCUAAGGUCCCAAAGUACGUGUUAAGUGGAAAAGGAUGUGGGGAUUCUAAGACAACUAGGACGUUGGCUUAGAAGCAGCCAUUCAUUGAAAGAGUGCGUAAUAGCUCACUAGUCGAGAGUCCCUGCGCCGAAAAUGUCCGGGGCUGAAACACGACACCGAAGCUUAGGAAUGUGUAAACAUUGGUAGAGGAGCAUUGCUAGCGGGAUGAAGCCAUACCGUAAGGAGUGGUGGACUGCUAGGAAGAGAGAAUGCCGGAAUGAGUAGCGAGAUGAAGGUGAGAAUCCUUCAGGCCGAAUAUCUAAGGUUUCCAGAGUAAAGCUGAUCUGCUCUGGGUAAGUCGGGACCUAAGGCGAGGUCGAAAGACGUAGUCGAUGGAUAACAGGUUGAAAUUCCUGUACCGCAUAUAAACAGAACUGUGGGGACACAGACAGGGAAUGGAAUCCGGGAGUGGAUAUCCCGGUGCAAGCGAGGUAGGAGUGCUGUUGGCAAAUCCGCAGCACGAUCUGAAGACGUGACGCGUACCGAACAUAAGUAGGGAAGUCCAGGCCCCUGGCUGUCAAGAAAAGCCGCUAUCGUUUUAUAUGUGCCCGUACCGCAAACCGACACAGGUGGAUGAGGAGAGAAUCCUAAGGCCGACGGGAGAAGUAUUGUUAAGGAACUCGGCAAAAUGACUCCGUAACUUCGGGAGAAGGAGUGCCAUGAGAGUGGCCGCAGAGAAAUGGCCCAAGCAACUGUUUAGCAAAAACACAGGUCUAUGCAAAACCGCAAGGUGAAGUAUAUGGGCUGACGCCUGCCCGGUGCUGGAAGGUUAAGGGGAGAGGUUAGCGCAAGCGAAGCUUUGAACUUAAGCCCCAGUAAACGGCGGCCGUAACUAUAACGGUCCUAAGGUAGCGAAAUUCCUUGUCGGGUAAGUUCCGACCCGCACGAAAGGCGUAAUGAUUUGGGCACUGUCUCAAC
rnacentral:rRNA from 1 species